UAAAGGUUUGGUCCUAGCCUUACUAUCAAUUUUUACUUAACUUACACAUGCAAGUAUCCGCACACCAGUGAGAACACCCACUCGACCAACAGGGACAAGGAGCCGGUAUCAGGCAAAAGCCAACGACACCUAGCCACGCCACACCCACAAGGGCCUCAGCAGUGAUAAAUAUUGACUAUGAGCGACCAGCUCGAACCAGUUAAAGUAAACAGAGCCGGCUAAUCCAGUGCCAGCCGCCGCGGUUACACUACUGACUCAAAUUGAUACAAUCGGCGUUAAGAGUGACAAAAGCAAUAAAAAAUUAGAACUGAACCACAACCAAGUUGUGACACACUUGUUUUGAGAACCCCUAAACGAAAGUUUUUCUAAUUACCCACUUGAUGCACGACAACUGAGUAACAAACUAGGAUUAGAUACCCUACUAUGCCCAGUCGUAAAAUAUUAACUCACACCCAACCCGCCAGAGAAAUACAAGCCCAGCUCAAAACUCAAAGGACUUGACGGUGUCCCACCCACCUAGAGGAGCCCGUUCUAUAAUCGACAACCCCCGAUCCACCCAACCCCCCCUAGCCACUCAGCCUGUAUACCUCCGUCGUAAGCUAACCCCAUGAGGAACUUAGUAAGCCUAAUAACUAUGCAUUAGCACGUCAGGUCAAGGUGCAGCCCAUGGAGGGGCAAGCAAUUGGCUACAAUCUCCAACUGAACAAACGAAAAACUGUAUGAAACUCAGUCAUGAAGGCGGAUUUAGCAGUAAAAAGAAAAUAAAAUAUUCUUUUUAACAAGGCCCUGGGAUACGUACACACCGCCCGUCGCCCUCUUCUAACUCAAAUUUCCUAUAAAUCAGACCAGACUAACCAUCAGAAGAGGCAAGUCGUAACACGGUAAGUGUACCGGAAGGUGCACUUGGUUAAGG
rnacentral:ncRNA from 1 species